rnacentral:rRNA from 1 species
AUGGAAAGCAAACAUUUCAUCAAGAGCGUGAUCAUGUGUGCACUCAUACUGGGACUUGUCCCGGAACAAAUCCAAGUAGCAGAGGGCAAGAGCUGCUGCAGAGACACCAGAUCAAGAAACUGUUACAACGUGUGCGGUUUUAGGUACCCCAGUAGCUCCUGCUCAAAAAUGUGUGGCUGUGUGCUCACAAGGGACCCCACAUGUCCCAGGGAAUACCCUAACCUCAACCUUCUCCCUAGCUCAGCUGAACCAGAUGCCGUUGAGUACUGCAAACUAGGAUGCAGGCUCUCAGUCUGUGACAACGUCAACUCAGCUGAGCUUCGCGAAGACAUGAAAGUCGGCGUGGAGCGCUGCGGCGAUGCGUGCGGCCGGUUCUGCAACGAUGCCACCAACAUUGCAUCCGUCGAUGCUUGA